rnacentral:rRNA from 1 species
UGGUGAGUGGGGUCGGACAGGCGGGGUAAUAAAGGUGGUGCAAGGUGUAGAUGGGUUUACGGGGCGUAACGCGUGUGUAGGUGUUUGGGGAAGUCAAUUGUCAAAGCCCCGGGGGUGACUCGGGAACUGCGUUGGAUACAGUAUGACGAUAAUGCGGUAGAGGGAGGCGGAACUCCAGGUGGAGCGGUGAAAUGCGUAGAUAUCGGGAAGAACACCAAUGGCGGAGGCAACCUCCUUGGCCUGAAUUGACGCUGAGACACGAAAGCGUGGGGAUCAAACAGUAUUAGAUACCCGAGUAGUC